rnacentral:misc_RNA from 1 species
GAAGUAAAUUAAAUUUCCUAGUAACUUUACCUUUUCCCCUUAAUACAAAGUAUAGGCAACAAUAAUACCUUGCCUGUGAGAAAAUGUUAUUAUUAGGCAUAUAUGGUAGGAGGAGUAUAUUUUAGUUUAAUGAUAAUGGCGUAAGCUUUCUUCAACUUUGUUUAGAAAGAAACAAGUCUCACCCACAAUGCCUAGUGUUUAAUGGAAAGGAAAGUAACAAAAUAACAUUCACCACCUCUAACCUACAAGGAUAUCUUAAACUUUGGACUCUCUAAUGCCUUCCACACAGUUCAAGCUCGAAAUAUCAAACAACUCUAUAAACCUUUGAUCUGAUACUCUAGCUUUUGCUGCAGCGAACCUCUGGUACUCAUCAAAUAUUGAAGACAGGCACCUUCUUUGCAAUUUUUUCAAGCACCCCACAAGGUUAAUGAUAGAACAGAGACCAAGGGAU